rnacentral:misc_RNA from 1 species
CAAUUAUGGGGGUGGUUGUAAUUGAUGUGUGCAGCAUCUUUCGCUUGCAUUUCCUCUUUGGUUGCUGAAGGCGUUGCUCUAAAGUCUACAUUUCAGCUUGCCUCUCACAGAGGUUUUAGCCAAAUUAUUUUUAAAUUUGUUUCCUUGCACUAUGCUUUCUUCCUCACGCAAGGCAAAUUCCUGUGCCAACUGGGGGGCUAUGAAUAUUAG